UAGGAAGCGAUUAAGAGCGUAUGGGGAAUGCCUAGGCUCUCAGAGACGACGAAGGACGUGGUAAGCUGCGAAAAGCUGCGGGGAGUUGCAAACGAACUUUGAUCCGCAGAUGUCCGAAUGGGACAACCCCUAUGGUUGAAGACCAUAGAUCAUACCGAAAGUAUGAAGACAACCCGGAGAACUGAAACAUCUAAGUACCCGGAGGAACAGAAAUCAACGAGAUUCCCUUAGUAGUGGCGAGCGAAAAGGGAACAGCCCAUUAAGUAUAGUACCGAGUAGUAGAAGUGGUCUGGAAAGCCACACCGUAGAAAGUGAAAGUCUUGUAAACGAAACGAGGUAUUAUGUGAAUUGAGUAGGGCGGGACACGUGAAAUCCUGUCUGAAUAUGGGGGGACCAUCCUCCAAGGCUAAAUACUCCUGAGAGACCGAUAGUGAACCAGUACCGUGAGGGAAAGGUGAAAAGGACCCCGAAAAGGGGAGUGAAAAGACCCUGAAACCAUACGCUUACAAGCGGUAGGAGUAGCACUUCGGUGCUAUGACUGCGUGCCUUUUGCAUAAUGAUCCUACGAGUUGCUCCUGACUAGCAAGUUUAAUUCCAAUGAAGGGAAGGAGGCGAAGCGAAAGCGAGUCUGAAUAGGGCGCACAGCUAGUUGGGGCAGACGCGAAACCACGGUGAUCUACCCAUGGGCAGGUUGAAGGUCAGAUAAUCUCUGACUGGAGGACCGAACCGGUGUACGUUGAAAAGUGCUCGGAUGACCUGUGGGUAGGGGUGAAAGGCCAAUCAAACCUGGAGAUAGCUCGUACUCCCCGAAAUGCAUUGAGGUGCAGCGUUGGUAUUUUUUGUAUUGGAGGUAGAGCUACCAAUAAGGCUAGGGGGCUUCGCGGCCUACCAACCCUUGAUGAACUCCGAAUGCCAGUACAAAUAACCAGCAGUGAGGCGCGGGGUGCUAAGGUCACGCGCCGAGAGGGGAAUAACCCAGAACAACAGCUAAGGUCCCUAAGUAUACAUUAAGUUGAUCUAACGAUGUGAGGAUGCUUUGACAGCUAGGAUGUUGGCUUGGAAGCAGCCAUUCAUUUAAAGAGUGCGUAACAGCUCACUAGUCGAGCGUUCUUGCGCGGAAAAUGAUCGGGCAUCAAAUGUAUCACCGAAGCAUUGUUUCCGAAAGGAAGGUAGGGGAGCAUUCUAAUCUGCGUUGAAACCAGGUCGUGAGACAAUGGCGGAGCGAUUAGAAAAGAAAAUGUAGGAAUGAGUAACGAUUAAUACGGUCAGAAACCGUAUCGCCGUAAGACUAAGGUUUCCUGGAUCGAUGUUCGACAGACCAGGGUGAGUCGGGACCUAAGGAAAACCCGAAAGGGGUAUUCGAUGGCAAACGGGUUAAUAUUCCCGUACCAGUUUACAAUAAAAGGGGACGGAGAUCUGAACUGAUCGCGCACUGACGGAAUAGUGCGUUGAACUACUCGUAAGGGUAGGAUAGUACCCCAAUCCCGCAAGGGCGAGGGGAUAGUGUCAGGUAAGGUCUUCCAAGAAAAGCCGAAGUAAACUGCUCGUACCGUAAUCCGACACAGGUAGUCGAGGAGAGUAUCCUCAGGCGCUCGAAUGAUUCAUGGCUAAGGAACUAGGCAAAUUAGACGCGUAACUUCGGGAGAAGCGUCCCCCGCUUCGGCGGGGCGCAGUGAAACGGCCCAGGCGACUGUUUAGCAAAAACACAGGACUAUGCUAAUUCGUAAGAAGAUGUAUAUGGUCUGACACCUGCCCGGUGCUGGAAGGUUAAGGAAGGGGGUUAGCGCAAGCGAAGCUCUUGACUGAAGCCCCAGUAAACGGCGGCCGUAACUAUAACGGUCCUAAGGUAGCGAAAUUCCUUGUCGGGUAAGUUCCGACCUGCACGAAUGGUGUAACGAUCUGGGCUCUGUCUCAGCCAUGAUUUCGGUGAAAUUGAAGUAUCGGUGAAGAUACCGGUUACCCGCAAUGGGACGAAAAGACCCCGUGCACCUUUACUAUAGCUUCACAUUGGUCUUGAGUCUAAUAUGUGUAGGAUAGCUGGGAGACUUUGAAGCUGCCACGCCAGUGGUGGUGGAGUCGUCCUUGAAAUACCAGCCUUGUUAUAUUUAGGUUCUAAUCCCGCUUUAAGUGGGAGACAGUGUGUGGUGGGUAGUUUGACUGGGGUGGUCGCCUCCAAAAGAGUAACGGAGGCUCGCAAAGGUACCCUCAGUACCGUUGGUAAUGGUACGAAGAGCGUAUGAGUAUAAGGGUGCUUGACUGAGAGAGCGACGGCUCGAUCAGGUGCGAAAGCAGGCUCAAGUGAUCCGGUAACUCCACAUGGGUGGGUUAUCGCUCAUAGGAUAAAAGGUACGCCGGGGAUAACAGGCUGAUCUCCCCCAAGAGCUCAUAUCGACGGGGAGGUUUGGCACCUCGAUGUCGGUUCGUCACAUCCUGGGGCUGGAGAAGGUCCCAAGGGUUGGGCUGUUCGCCCAUUAAAGUGGCACGUGAACUGGGUUCAGAACGUCGCAAGACAGUUCGGUCUCUAUCUAUUGCGGGCGCGGGAAUAUUGAGAAGAUCUGACACUAGUACGAGAGGACCGUGUUGGACGUACCGCUAGUGUACCAGUUGUGGCGCCAGCUGCACCGCUGGGUAGCUAUGUACGGAACGGAUAAGCGCUGAAAGCAUCUAAGCACGAAGCCGUCUUUAAGAUGAGUAUUCCAUUCUCCCUUGCGGAGAUGAAGGGUCGUAGAAGAUGACUACGUUGAUAGGCUAUAGGUGGAAGUACAGUGAUGUAUGUAGCCGAGUAGUACUAAUCACCCGAAAGCUUCCUUUU
rnacentral:rRNA from 1 species